rnacentral:rRNA from 1 species
GUGCCAGCAGCCGCGGUAAUACGGAGGGUGCAAGCGUUAUCCGGAUUUACUGGGUUUAAAGGGAGCGUAGGCGGAAUGUUAAGUCCGUGGUGAAAUCCCUCAGCUCAACUGGGGAACUGCCAUGGAUACUAUCAUUCUUGAAUGUCGUUGAGGUUUGCGGAAUGGGUCAUGUAGCGGUGAAAUGCAUAGAUAUGACCCGGAACACCGAUUGCGAAGGCAGCAGGCUAAACGAAUAUUGACGCUGAGGCUCGAAAGCGUGGGGAUCAAACAGGAUUAGAUACCCUGGUAGUCCACGCCCUAAACGAUGAUUACUCGACAUACGUGAUAUGACAAUGUGUGUCUGAGCGAAAGCAUUAAGUAAUCCACCUGGGAAGUACGACCGCAAGGUUGAA